GACGAACGCUGGCGGCGUGCCUAAUACAUGCAAGUUGAGCGAUGAAGAUUGGUGCUUGCACCAAUUUGAAGAGCAGCGAACGGGUGAGUAACGCGUGGGGAAUCUGCCUUUGAGCGGGGGACAACAUUUGGAAACGAAUGCUAAUACCGCAUAACAACUUUAAACAUAAGUUUUAAGUUUGAAAGAUGCAAUUGCAUCACUCAAAGAUGAUCCCGCGUUGUAUUAGCUAGUUGGUGAGGUAAAGGCUCACCAAGGCGAUGAUACAUAGCCGACCUGAGAGGGUGAUCGGCCACAUUGGGACUGAGACACGGCCCAAACUCCUACGGGAGGCAGCAGUAGGGAAUCUUCGGCAAUGGACGAAAGUCUGACCGAGCAACGCCGCGGGAGUGAAGAAGGGUUUCGGAUCGUAAAACUCGGUUGGUAGAGAAGAACGUUGGUGAGAGUGGAAAGCUCAUCAAGUGACGGUAACUACACAGAAAGGGACGGCUAACUACGUG
rnacentral:rRNA from 1 species